rnacentral:rRNA from 1 species
ACACCCGUUCCCAUUCCGAACACGGAAGUUAAGCCUUUCAGCGCCGAUGGUACUGCACGGGCAGCUGUGUGGGAGAGUAGGAC